UACGUAGGGUGCAAGCGUUAAUCGGAAUUACUGGGCGUAAAGCGUGCGCAGGCGGUUUUGUAAGUCUGUCGUGAAAUCCCCGGGCUCAACCUGGGAAUUGCGAUGAGACUGCAAGGCUAGAAUCUGGCAGAGGGGGGUAGAAUUCCACGUGUAGCAGUGAAAUGCGUAGAGAUGUGGAGGAACGACCGAUGGCGAAGGCAGCCCCCUGGGUCAAGAUUGACGCUCAUGCACGAAAGCGUGGGGAGCAAACGAGG
rnacentral:rRNA from 1 species